rnacentral:rRNA from 1 species
UGUAAACCUCUUUCAGCAGGGAAGAAGCCACAAGUGACGGUACCUGCAGAAGAAGCGCCGGCUAACUACGUGCCAGCAGCCGCGGUAAUACGUAGGGCGCAAGCGUUGUCCGGAAUUAUUGGGCGUAAAGAGCUCGUAGGCGGUUUGUCGCGUCUGCUGUGAAAGCCCGGGGCUUAACCCCGGGUGUGCAGUGGGUACGGGCAGACUAGAGUGCAGUAGGGGAGACUGGAAUUCCUGGUGUAGCGGUGGAAUGCGCAGAUAUCAGGAGGAACACCGAUGGCGAAGGCAGGUCUCUGGGCUGUUACUGACGCUGAGGAGCGAAAGCAUGGGGAGCGAACAGGAUUAGAUACCCUGGUAGUCCAUGCCGUAAACGUUGGGCACUAGGUGUGGGGGACAUUCCACGUUUUCCGCGCCGUAGCUAACGCAUUAAGUGCCCCGCCUGGGGAGUACGGCCGCAAGGCUAAAACUCAAAGGAAUUGACGGGGGCCCGCACAAGCGGCGGAGCAUGCGGAUUAAUUCGAUGCAACGCGAAGAACCUUACCAAGGCUUGACAUAUACCGGAUCGUUCCAGAGAUGGUUCUUCCCCUUUGGGGUCGGUAUACAGGUGGUGCAUGGUUGUCGUCAGCUCGUGUCGUGAGAUGUUGGGUUAAGUCCCGCAACGAGCGCAACCCUCGUUCCAUGUUGCCAGCACGUGAUGGUGGGGACUCAUGGGAGACUGCCGGGGUCAACUCGGAGGAAGGUGGGGAUGACGUCAAAUCAUCAUGCCCCUUAUGUCUUGGGCUUCACGCAUGCUACAAUGGCCGGUACAAAGGGUUGCGAUACUGUGAGGUGGAGCUAAUCCCAAAAAGCCGGUCUCAGUUCGGAUUGAGGUCUGCAACUCGACCUCAUGAAGUCGGAGUCGCUAGUAAUC